GAAGGGGGCUAGCGUUGCUCGGAAUCACUGGGCGUAAAGGGUGCGUAGGCGGGUCUUUAAGUCAGGGGUGAAAUCCUGGAGCUCAACUCCAGAACUGCCUUUGAUACUGAAGAUCUUGAGUUCGGGAGAGGUGAGUGGAACUGCGAGUGUAGAGGUGAAAUUCGUAGAUAUUCGCAAGAACACCAGUGGCGAAGGCGGCUCACUGGCCCGAUACUGACGCUGAGGCACGAAAGCGUGGGGGGGAGCAAACAGGAUUAGAUACCCUGGUAGUCCACGCCGUAAACGAUGAAUGCCCAGCCGUUAGUGGGUUUACUCACUAGUGGCGCAGCUAACGCUUUAAGCAUUCCCGCCUGGGGAGUACGGUCGCAAGAUUA
rnacentral:rRNA from 1 species